AUUGAACGCUGGCGGCAGGCCUAACCCAUGCAAGUCGAACGAGUGGCGGACGGGUGAGUAAUGUCUGGGAAACUGCCCGAUGGAGGGGGAUAACUACUGGAAACGGUAGCUAAUACCGCAUACCAUCGGAUGUGCCCAGAUGGGAUUAGCUUGUAGGUGGGGUAACGGCUCACCAAGGCCACGAUCCCUAGCUGGUCUGAGAGGAUGAACAGCCACAGUGGCACUGAGACACGGUCCAGACUCCUACGGGAGGCAGCAGUGGGGAAUAUUGCACAAUGGGCGCAAGCCUGAUGCAGCCAUGCCGCGUGUAUGAAGAAGGCCUUCGGGUUGUAAAGUACUUUCAGCGGGGAGGCGUUACCCGCAGAAGAAGCACCGGCUAACUCCGUGCCAGCAGCCGCGGUAAUAC
rnacentral:rRNA from 1 species